GUGAAAUCAAGCCUGGUGACGUCAUUAACAAAUGCCUAUGGGUUGACGGUUGCUAACAAAUGACGUCACCCAAGAAAAUAACAAAGGGCGGACAUAUUCAAGAUUAUCAAAAUGGCGAGACGAACCUGCAAAUAUAACGAUUUCGUCAGUGAACCAAUGGGACACAAAUCUAUUAUGCGCGUGCCAGGAAUUGGACCAGUUACUGGAAAGGAGCUCCAGUGCCUAGGUUACGAUAAGGCUCACCAACUAUACAGCAUGUACUUGAAAAAGCGACGCCCUGCAAAUUUUCUUUACUGGCUAAUCGAUGAAACGCGCGCUAGGCCAUUCGAUGCUUGCCAGUGUGUGCAUUCUUUCCAGGUCUAUGCAAAAUCCAAAAGGACUUGUUGAACAACGCUUACUAUCGUAUAGAAACAUUAACCCGUGUUGUAUAUGCAUAUUUUAAUCAGUUAAAAAAAAUGUUUCUGGUUGAACUUUAAAAAUAAUUUAAAAAAAAAAAAAAAAAAAACCCACGAAAAAAAAAAAAAAAAAAAAAAACAUUUUCCGAUCUAUAUUCUUGUGAUCUAUUAUUGCUAUAAUAUAUAAUUCACAAAUGUCGAUUUGUAUUAAGCUAUUUUUCUAAUAGUUGUCAAUUAUUGGCAAGAAUCGGCCAUUGAAGAUGUUGAAAUGGGUUAGUUUUUGAGAGAUGAAGAAACCUGUUUGAUUUCACUGCAAGAAAUUGUUUAGAAAAUUGCAUAUGCGUUUUAUGAAGACAUCAGUAAUUGGCAGGCCACUAAAUUUUUGGGGUUUUUUUUUUAUUAUACAUAAAAUAAUUAUUGUAAAUUAGCUUGUUUUGUAAGCAUUCUCUUGUUUUAUAUUAUAUUUAUUUUUAAUUGUGUAUAUUAUAGUGUUUAGUGAGGUCAUUGUUAAAGUCUAUGUAAGAAGUGUGUUGUUGCAAGUCUGUUUUUUGAUUGAGAUAUUUUGGUGUGUUUUUCUUUUAGUAAUUUUAUAUGUACUAUUAUGUAAGCAGUUAAGUAAAAGCUGUAUCAAUCGGCGAA